rnacentral:pre_miRNA from 1 species
UUACAAUUAAAGGAUAUUUCUUGCAGCUACACAGACAGAAAUAUCUCUUAAUUGUUGGGU